rnacentral:rRNA from 1 species
GACGAACGCUGGCGGCGCGCCUAACACAUGCAAGUCGAACGAGCGAGAGGAGGUUUACUUUCUCAAGCGAGUGGCGAACGGGUGAGUAACGCGUGAGGAACCUGCCUCAAAGAGGGGGACAACAGUUGGAAACGACUGCUAAUACCGCAUAAGCCCAUGGCUCGGCAUCGAGCAGAGGGAAAAGGAGCAAUCCGCUUUGAGAUGGCCUCGCGUCCGAUUAGCUGGUUGGUGAGGUAACGGCCCACCAAGGCGACGAUCGGUAGCCGGACUGAGAGGUUGAACGGCCACAUUGGGACUGAGACACGGCCCAGACUCCUACGGGAGGCAGCAGCGGGGAAUAUUGCACAAUGGGGGAAACCCUGAUGCAGCGACGCCGCGUGGAGGAAGAAGGUCUUCGGAUUGUAAACUCCUGUUGUUGAGGAAGAUAAUGACGGUACUCAACAAGGAAGUGACGGCUAACUACGUGCCAGCAGCCGCGGUAAAACGUAGGUCACAAGCGUUGUCCGGAAUUACUGGGUGUAAAGGGAGCGCAGGCGGGAAGACAAGUUGGAAGUGAAAUCCAUGGGCUCAACCCAUGAACUGCUUUCAAAACUGUUUUUCUUGAGUAGUGCAGAGGUAGGCGGAAUUCCCGGUGUAGCGGUGGAAUGCGUAGAUAUCGGGAGGAACACCAGUGGCGAAGGCGGCCUACUGGGCACCAACUGACGCUGAGGCUCGAAAGUGUGGGUAGCAAACAGGAUUAGAUACCCUGGUAGUCCACACUGUAAACGAUGAUUACUAGGUGUUGGAGGAUUGACCCCUUCAGUGCCGCAGUUAACACAAUAAGUAAUCCACCUGGGGAGUACGACCGCAAGGUUGAAACUCAAAGGAAUUGACGGGGGCCCGCACAAGCAGUGGAGUAUGUGGUUUAAUUCGACGCAACGCGAAGAACCUUACCAAGUCUUGACAUCCUGCGACGGUGCUGGAAACAGUACUUUCCUUCGGGACGCAGAGACAGGUGGUGCAUGGUUGUCGUCAGCUCGUGUCGUGAGAUGUUGGGUUAAGUCCCGCAACGAGCGCAACCCUUAUGGUCAGUUACUACGCAAGAGGACUCUGGCCAGACUGCCGUUGACAAAACGGAGGAAGGUGGGGAGGACGUCAAAUCAUCAUGCCCUUUAUGACUUGGGCUACACACGUACUACAAUGGCGUUAAACAAAGAGAAGCAAGACCGCGAGGCGGAGCAAAACUCAGAAACAACGUCCCAGUUCGGACUGCAGGCUGCAACUCGCCUGCACGAAGUCGGAAUUGCUAGUAAUCGCAGAUCAGCAUGCUGCGGUGAAUACGUUCCCGGGCCUUGCAC